CAGCCGCCACGGUAAUACGUAGGUGGCAAGCGUUGUCCGGAAUUAUUGGCCGUAAAGCGCGCGCAGGCGGCCUAUCCAGUCUGCCUUAAAAGUUCGGGGCUCAACCCCGUGAUGGGAUGGAAACUAGUAGGCUAGAGUAUCGGAGAGGAAAGCGGAAUUCCUAGUGUAGCGGUGAAAUGCGUAGAUAUUGGAAGAACACCAGUGGCGAAGGCGACUUUCUGGACGAAAACUGACGCUGAGGCGCGAAAGCCAGGGGAGCGAACGGGAUUAGAGACCCGCGUAGUCCUGUCUCUUAUACACA
rnacentral:rRNA from 1 species